GGGCGGCGGUGGUGGCGGCGGCGUCACCGCGACGGCGGCGGCGGACGUGUACAGCCUGGGGCUGACGGUGGCCGAGGUGACGCUGGGGCCACGGGCGGAGGAUGGGGAAACUUGGAGCCAGCUGAGGGCAGGGAGCCUGCCCCACGGCGUGCGGGACGAGCUGCCGCGCUGCCCUAUGGCGGAUGUGGGACGCGCUAUGGGGCAGAGCUAUGGGGCGGCGCUCCCCGAGCACCCCGCCCCAUACGCCACUCCUGCCCCACACCGACCUGUGGGAUGAAGAAGAGGAGGAAGAGGAGAGUGGGGCGCUGUGGGGCCACGGCCCCCCCGGGAGGUGAGCGCUAUGGGGCAGAGGUGGGGCAGUGCCCCAUAGCGCGUCCCCCCACGCUCACCCCGUUGUCCCCACACAGCCCCACCGCCUUCCGCCCCACUGCCUCCACCCCACAGCACCGUGGGUCGCCACCAAGGUGAGUGCUGCCCCAUAGCCCUGCCCCAUAGCGCUGUCCUAUGACCCUGCCCCAUAGCCCUGCCCCAUAGCGCUGUCCUACGACCCUGCCCCAUAGCCCUGCCCCAUAGUGCUGUCCUAUGACCCUGCCCCAUAGCGCUGUCCUAUGACCCUGCCCCGUAGCCCUGCCCCACUGUCCUGUCCUACGACCCUACCCCAUAGCGCUGCCCCAUAACCUGAGCCGUCUCACCCCACAGCACCCCCGAGGGCAGCCCCACCGCUAUGGGGCGCCUACGCCGCACUCUCACCUUCGAGGAGGAUCCAGAGCUCCCUAGCGUCGCCCCAUAGCGCCGCCCCAUAGCGCUGCCCCAUAAGGGGGGCGCUGAUUGGCCAACGGGACGGAAACAACGCUUCUGGUUGGCCGAUGGGACGGGACUGAGUUCUGAUUGGCUGAAGGAAUGCCGCUUGAUUGGCCGAAGGAACAGGAACAAUCUUCUGAUUGGCCAAAGGAAUAGCAGAAUGCUUCUGAUUGGCCAAUGCGCUAGGAAUGCAUUCUGAUUGGCUGAAGGAAUGGGAGCAGCACUCCUGAUUGGCCAGCGGGUGGCGCUGGGAUCCGCCCAUUAAAGUGCUAAACCGCUACGGAGGGGGGGCGUGGCCGAACAUAAGCCCCGCCCACUCCAGUGCCCUGCCGCAAUCCCAUUGGCUGACGUCAACGUCGCCGCGCCAUAUAUGGACACAGGCUGCCGCGAGUCGAUUUGCAUAGCCACGCUCGCCGCGUCGCGAUUUGCAUAAAUCUUUCAUAUUCAUGAGCUUGGCCCACGCCCUCCCGCCUCUCCAGCAGGGACCCCGAUGGGAGAAUCGAGUGGAGGCGAAUCUGUGGGGCAGAUGUGGGGUGUCUAUGGGGCAGAUGUGGG
rnacentral:lncRNA from 1 species